AACAUCGCGCACCUGCGGGAACCUGCGGAAGGAUCAUUAUUGAAUAUCCAUUCAAUUACGUAUGUGAACCUGCCGAACCAUUAGCUGGCUGCAGUCAGUUCAAUGGCACUUGUCAGAGACUGUAACCGCAUGGGUAGGCCUUAAUGUCUGACGGACUUUGAGCCGUCAGCGUUUUACCAACUACUUCAUCAUUAAAUUUGACUGACUUAUCUUUAUUACAAAGACAACUUUUAACAAUGG
rnacentral:misc_RNA from 1 species